rnacentral:tRNA from 28 species
UGGGCUGUAGCCAAGUGGUAAGGCAUCGGAUUUUGAUUCCGACAUGCGUAGGUUCGAUCCCUUCCAGCCCAGCCA